rnacentral:rRNA from 1 species
UACGGAGGGUGCAAGCGUUAUCCGGAUUCACUGGGUUUAAAGGGUGCGUAGGUGGGCAGGUAAGUCAGUGGUGAAAUCCCCGGGCUUAACUUGGGAACUGCCGUUGAUACUAUCUGUCUUGAAUACCGUGGAGGUGAGCGGAAUAUGUCAUGUAGCGGUGAAAUGCUUAGAUAUGACAUAGAACACCUAUUGCGAAGGCAGCUCACUACACAGUAAUUGACACUGAGGCACGAAAGCGUGGGGAGCAAACAGG